GCUUAACACAUGCAAGCUCGAAACGAUGCAAGCCCAGCUUGCUGGGUGGAUUAGUGGCGAACGGGUGAGUAACACGUGAGUAACCUGCCCUUAACUCUGGGAUAAGCCUGGGAAACUGGGUCUAAUACCGGAUAGGAGCGUCCACCGCAUGGUGGGUGUUGGAAAGAUUUAUCGGUUUUGGAUGGACUCGCGGCCUAUCAGCUUGUUGGUGAGGUAAUGGCUCACCAAGGCGACGACGGGUAGCCGGCCUGAGAGGGUGACCGGCCACACUGGGACUGAGACACGGCCCAGACUCCUACGGGAGGCAGCAGUGGGGAAUAUUGCACAAUGGGCGCAAGCCUGAUGCAGCGACNCCGCGUGAGGGAUGACGGCCUUCGGGUUGUAAACCUCUUUCAGUAGGGAAGAAGCGAAAGUGACGGUACCUGCAGAAGAAGCACCGGCUAACUACGUGCCAGCAGCCGCGGUAAUACGUAGGGUGCGAGCGUUAUCCGGAAUUUUUGGGCGUAAAGAGCUCGUAAGCGGUUUGUCGCGUCUGUCGUGAAAAUCCGGGGCUUAACCCCGAUCUGCGGUGGGGUACCGGCAGACUAAAGUGCAAUAAGGGAGACUGGGAUUCUGGUGUANCGGUGGGAAUGCGCAAAUAUUCAGGAGGAACCCCCAUUG
rnacentral:rRNA from 1 species